rnacentral:rRNA from 1 species
GAUGAACGCUAGCUACAGGCUUAACACAUGCAAGUCGCGGGGCAGCAUUUUCUUUAGCUUGCUAAGGAGAUGGCGACCGGCGCACGGGUGAGUAACGCGUAUCCAACCUUCCCUUGUCCACGGGAUAGCCCGUCGAAAGGCGGAUUAAUACCGUAUGAGGUCACAUGCUGGCAUCAAAGUGUGACGAAAGGUUUAGCGGACAGGGAUGGGGAUGCGUCCGAUUAGGUAGUCGGCGGGGUAACGG